AAGAGAACUAGAUGUUAUCUAGUGUUAUCCUGCUGAUCCCAAUUUCCUAUAGUUCUGGCACCAGAAAAUCCUGAAUGAUAGGUUUUUCUGAAGCUGCUGACAUCGGGUCAGCCCUCAACACCAUCACCUUUGGCCAUGUUCAGGAGGUACUCAAAAGAUCAUGGCGCAAAAGUCUGCAGAGCAGAGACAAGAGAUUGACAAAGAGGUGUUGAUGAAGUGAGACGUUACUGUUCUGCUCUGGAGAAGAUACUGUCAGAUAAUGUCCCGCAUUUCCAUCAGCUGGCAUGCAUGCCUUUGGACUCGGACAGGGUUCUUUGGAUUGUAGCUGAAUUUUCAAUGUUUAGUCAAUAUGGAUCUGAUCUCCGCAUGAUCUUUUUUGUGAAUGCCAACACCAUUUUGUAACUUUUUUCCAUUCUAAA
rnacentral:lncRNA from 1 species